rnacentral:sRNA from 1 species
CUAGCAAGAAGUUGGAAAGUUGUUCAUUAUUCUUAAGCGAGCUGUACUAACAGAACUCGGAACCCUAUAUUCCAUAUCCUUUUCCCUGCGAUUGAGAGCCUAAAGGUUAGGCGGCUUGCUUCAAAGUUCCCUUGGCGGGAAGUUAUAUCCAUAACAUGGGGAACCUUGCCCUCACAGCCCAAUUCAUCCUCUAGUUUGGACACAAGCAGCUUCAAUCACGCAAGCUGCCAGCAAACAAGGGUCAGACACAGAUAAAUGCUCACUAUUGGUUACACAUUUGCUUCCAAUUUUAUAUAUAGAUAUAUAUAAUAAUUCCAUGAUUCUAUCAUCCUCACCAGCCAAGAUUCUUAUCGGCGAGAUCUUGGAAUCACCGGACUGAAGAGCCAAUGGCUCGACUGCGGACAUGGGAAAUGCAUCCACGGGGAGCGGCGCCGGUUCCAAAACAUCUCCUACAGAUGCUAAAGGUGUAUUUAUGUGAACAAUUCAGCCAGCAUAAAUGUAGACCCCAUCAGCCUUAAGCUUUAGCCAAGUAGCUAGAUAAACAGCCAAGCCGGGGAAAACCCUCAGCUCCAACCGGCUCGGCCGCGGGUGACGCUAUUACCUCACAAAUUC